rnacentral:rRNA from 1 species
CCUACGGGAGGCAGCAGUGGGGAAUUUUGGACAAUGGGCGCAAGCCUGAUCCAGCCAUGCCGCGUGCGGGAAGAAGGCCUUCGGGUUGUAAACCGCUUUUGUCAGGGAAGAAAAGGUUCUGGUUAAUACCUGGGACUCAUGACGGUACCUGAAGAAUAAGCACCGGCUAACUACGUGCCAGCAGCCGCGGUAAUACGUAGGGUGCAAGCGUUAAUCGGAAUUACUGGGCGUAAAGCGUGCGCAGGCGGUUAUGCAAGACAGAGGUGAAAUCCCCGGGCUCAACCUGGGAACUGCCUUUGUGACUGCAUAGCUAGAGUGCGGCAGAGGGGGAUGGAAUUCCGCGUGUAGCAGUGAAAUGCGUAGAUAUGCGGAGGAACACCGAUGGCGAAGGCAAUCCCCUGGGCCUGCACUGACGCUCAUGCACGAAAGCGUGGGGAGCAAACAGGAUUAGAUACCCUGGUAGUCCACGCCCUAAACGAUGUCAACUGGUUGUUGGGAGGGUUUCUUCUCAGUAACGUAGCUAACGCGUGAAGUUGACCGCCUGGGGGAGGUACGGCCGCGAGUAGAACGUACAAAGAGAAGUUAGACGGCGUGAGACGUAGACCGAACGGACGACGACGAGGGGAGGUUAGGG